UGGGGAAUAUUGGACAAUGGGGGAAACCCUGAUCCAGCAAUGCCGCGUGAGUGAUGAAGGCCUUAGGGUUGUAAAGCUCUUUUACCAGGGAUGAUAAUGACAGUACCUGGAGAAUAAGCUCCGGCUAACUCCGUGCCAGCAGCCGCGGUAAUACGGAGGGUGCCAGCGUUGUCCGGAUUUAUUGGGUUUAAAGGGUACGUAGGCGGAAGGCUAAGUCCGAGGUGAAAGCCCCCAGCUCAACUGGGGAGGUGCCUUGGAUACUGGUCAUCUUGAGUGCCGUAGAGGUAGGCGGAAUUCAUGGUGUAGCGGUGAAAUGCAUAGAUACCAUGAGGAACACCGAUAGGGAAGCCAGCCUACUAGACGGUUACUGACGCUGAGGUACGAAAGCGUGGGGAGCGAACAGGAUUAGAUACCCCUGUAGUCC
rnacentral:rRNA from 1 species